GGCGAACGGGUGAGUAACACGUUGGAACCUACCCCAGACUCAGGGAUAGCCCGCCGAAAGGUGGAUUAAUACCGGAUGGUCUCGUAAGAGUAAAGCUUUUGCGGUCUGGGAGGGGCCUGCGGCCUAUCAGCUAGUUGGUAAGGUAAUGGCUUACCAAGGCUAUGACGGGUAACUGGUGUGAGAGCAUGACCAGUCACAAUGGAACUGAGACACGGUCCAUACUCCUACGGGAGGCAGCAGUGAGGAAUCUUCCGCAAUGGGCGAAAGCCUGACGGAGCGACACCGCGUGGAGGACGAAGGCCUUUUGGUUGUAAACUCCUUUUCUGGGGGAAUAAAUGAUGAAGGUACCCCAGGAAUAAGCACCGGCUAACUACGUGCCAGCAGCCGCGGUAAUACGUAGGGUGCAGGCGUUAUCCGGAAUUAUUGGGCGUAAAGAGUUCGUAGGUGGUACACCAAGUUUGUAGUUAAAUAUGGUCGCUCAACGAUCAAAUCGCUACAAAAACUAGUGUGCUAGAGAGUGGCAGAGGUAACUGGAAUUCCACAUGUAGGGGUAAAAUCCGUUGAUAUGUGGAGGAACACCAAAAGCGAAGGCAGGUUACUGGGCCAUUUCUGACGCUGAGGAACGAAAGCGUGGGGAGCAAACAGGAUUAGAUACCCUGGUAGUCCACGC
rnacentral:rRNA from 1 species